ensembl:lincRNA
UGGCCAAAGAGGGCAAAGGAUAUGAAGCCUAGAUCUGGGGGGAUACUGCAAAACAGAGACAGGACUUUGGACUUAUAGCUAUAGCAGCAGGCCCUGAUCUGUCCAGAUCUCUCCACUCUCCUUCUACCUUCUCAUGCAGGAGGCCUUGGGUCCAGAGACCCUGGAGCGGCUUCUAGAAAAGCAGCAGAGUUGGGAGCAGAGCAGAGUUGGACAGCUGUGUAGGGGGCCACAGCUUGCUGCCAAGAAAGCAGCCCUGGUAGCAGGGGUGGUGCGACCAGCUGCUGAGGAUCUUCCAGGUGAAACUACCCAAAUACUUAUAUGUCCAGCAGGAUGUAUAGGGAGUAUCAAACGGUCUGGGUUCUACAUGUGCUCUUCCCUGGGACUGGGUUUUCUAAUUUAUAAAGCAAAGAGUUUAGAGGGAUGAUCUUCAAGCCUCUUGUAGUUCUAGAAUUCUGUAGUUCUGGGAGUUUGUAAACUAUCAAGUUUUCUUUUAGCCCAGAACUUCCAUUUUCCUGCUCUCUCGUGUCUGCUCUAGACUCAGCUCUAGCUUGGCUAAGUGUGGAGCUCUCUGCUGGGGAGAUCCCUAGAAGCUUUGAAGGAGACAUUGUGAGGCUGGAGAACUGGGUUCAAAUUCAGUGCUACCAUUAAAUCCCUGAAUAACAUCCUCAGUCUUCCAUCUAUAAAAGUCUUGGCAUCUCCAAUCACUUCUUGUUCUAUUAUCUCCUAAGCCCUAUACAUAUUACUCUGUAAUACUCCUUUGAUCCCUAUUUCUCACAGUGCUCCAUCCUCCAAAGGUUGGAAGACUCAUUCUAUCUACAGAUAUCUCUCUGGGCAUAUUUUAUUACUACGCUGACCUCCUGGCCCUGCCUUCCCCCUUCAGAACCUGUGCCAAAUUGUGCAGAUGUACGAGGGACAUUCCCAGCAGCCUGGUCUGCAACCCAGAUUGCAGAGAUGGAGCUCUCAGACUUUGAGGACUGCCUGACAUUAUUUGCAGGAGACCCAGGACUUGGGCCUGAGGAACUGCGGGCAGCCAUGGGCAAAGCAAAACAGUUGUGGGGUCCCCCCCGGCGAUUUCGUCCUGAGCAGAUCCUGCAGCUCGGUAGGCUCUUAAUAGGUCUAGGAGAUCGGGAACUACAGGAGCUGAUCCUAGUGGACUGGGGAGUGCUGAGCACCCUGGGGCAGAUAGAUGGCUGGAGCUCCACUCAGCUCCGCAUUGUGGUCUCCAGUUUCCUACGGCAGAGUGGUCGGCAUGUGAGCCACCUGGACUUCGUUCAUCUGACAGCGCUGGGUUAUACUCUCUGUGGACUGCGGCCAGAGGAGCUCCAGCACAUCAGCAGUUGGGAGUUUAGCCAAGCGGCUCUCUUCCUCGGCACCCUGCAUCUCCAGUGCUCUGAGGAACAACUGGAGGUUCUGGCCCACCUACUUGUACUGCCUGUGGGUUUGGCCCAAUCAGUAACUGGGGCCUGAGAUCUUCACUGAAAUUGGCACCAUAGCAGCUGGGAUCCCAGACCUGGCUCUUUCAGCACUGCUGCGGGGACAGAUCCAGGGUGUUACUCCUCUUGCCAUUUCUGUCAUCCCUCCUCCUAAAUUUGCUGUAGGUAUUAAUGGACUGGGGUGACCACAGGAGAGCCAGGGCCCAAUGGGGACUACAUGCAUGCACUGAUUCCUACCCCUGCCCUCAGGUGGUGUUUAGUCCCAUCCAACUAUCUAGUCUCACCAGUGCUCAGGCUAUGGCUGUCACUCCUGAGCAAAUGGCCUUUCUGAGUCCUGAGCAGCGACGAGCAGUUGGAUGGGCCCAACAUGAGGGGAAGGAGAGCCCAGAACAGCAAGGUGAGUUCCCAGCUGCACAGCUUGAUCCUCCAUCUCCUGACCCAGAAUCAAACCCCUAAUUUGGUGCUGUCUGGCUCUUAGAGUGCACCCAGGGAGAUCCCUGGAGUGAAGGAGUCUACAGGCAGAGCGCUAAUUUCCAAGUAUCAAUGCUCCUGGAGAGCUGAGUUGUGAUAUUACUCCCAUUCCCUGUCUAUUAUAGGUCGAAGUACAGCCUGGGGCCUCCAGGACUGGUCACGACCUUCCUGGUCCCUGGUAUUGACUAUCAGCUUCCUUGGCCACCUGCUAUGAGCCUGUCUCUACAGUAGAAGGAGAUUGUGGGGAGAGAAAUCUUAAGUCAUAAUGAAUAAAGUGCAAACAGAAGUGCAUCCUGAUUAUUUUCAGAAGCUGAUGAGGAAUAUGGGUAAAAUGUUAAUGCUUUCCACCCACCUGAGAAUCAGUGUUCCUGGGUUGCCAUAUCUGGAGUCUCUUUCCAUCAUAAAUAAUCCCACUGCCUCUUUUCAUUUCCUGAAGGCUGCUCCCUCCUCACCCCACCAUUAGAAGUAACACAGACAGCUGCAGCAUAGCAAGGAGUCUUUACUAGGAUGGAGGCAGGGGAUGCGGGGGCAGAUCCAGAGCAAGUAGAAUGGGCCAUCAUUAGAAUGAGCAGAACUCCUGGGAAUCUUGAGUCAUCAGCUGGCGAUGGGGAGUUAAUGCUUGGUGUGGAUGACAGGUGUGGGGAUGCGGAUAUCCUGGCCUCUCUCCAGACGCCGUUCACAAUCAAUCAAAUAGUUUACUCCAUUGAUGACCAGUUGCACCAGCUCCACCUAAGGGACACUAAUCUUUGAUCUGCUUCCUACAGUCUGAGUUUUUCUUUAGCACUGACUGACUUGCCUGCUCAUUUCCAAUUGCCUCCCCACUCAACCUGAAUUUCAUUUCAGAUUAUGUUACAUCCCGGAGGCUCACUCACUGCCAUAUUUCGGCCCUCGCAGACCUAUACCUCUCCUCAUCCUAAUCCCUUAGGAUCUCACCUCUGAUUUGCCUAGUCGGUCCAAAUUAGAAAUAUCAAAGACACCGCCUGUGGCAGCAGUGUCCACUCCUCCAGUACCACGCUUUUGGAGUCUUAGGUUCUCCAGGAUCUUUGGGAAGCGGCUAUCCUAGAGAGGAGAUAGGGAUUGGGAGCAGGGUCAAUAAAGGCAGAGACUAGUCCU